GAUAACACCUUGCAACUUUUCCAUUUGUGAUACUACUACCUGGGUAUUGGAUACCGAAAGUCCUUAUCAUAUCUGUAAUUCGAUGCAUUGUCUACAGGUCAGUAGGAGAUUUGAUGAAGGCGAGAGGUUCCUGAACGUUGGAGAUGGAACCAAAGUUUCAGUUCAAGCUUUAGGAAUCAUGAACCUUGUAAUCAAUUCUCGUAAUAUAAUUCUGAGUGAAUGUCACUAUUAUCCAAGUUUUUUAUUAAAUAUUAUUUCUGUAGGCC
rnacentral:lncRNA from 1 species